UGGGUAACCUACCCUCGAGUGGGGGAUAACCCGCCGAAAGGCGAGCUAAUACCGCGUACGCUUCCGAUCUUGCGGGAUUGGAAGGAAAGCUGUCCCUUGGGGAUGGCGCUCAAGGAUGGGCUCAUGUCCUAUCAGCUUGUUGGUAGGGUAACGGCCUACCAAGGCAUCGACGGGUAGCUGGUCUGAGAGGACGAUCAGCCACACUGGCACUGCGACACGGGCCAG
rnacentral:rRNA from 1 species